rnacentral:rRNA from 1 species
GACGGAGGGUGCAAACGUUGUUCGGAAUCACUGGGCAUAAAGAGCACGUAGGCUGCGCGCUAAGUCAGGUGUGAAAUCCCCCGGCUCAACCGGGGAACUGCACCUGAUACUGGCGUGCUCGAGGACGGUAGGGGUGAGUGGAACUCCAGGUGGAGCGGUGAAAUGCGUAGAGAUCCGCAAGAACACCAGUGGCGAAGGCGGCUCACUGGCCCGAUACUGACGCUGAGGUGCGAAAGCGUGGGGAGCAAACAGG